UGGGGAAUUUUGGACAAUGGGCGAAAGCCUGAUCCAGCAAUGCCGCGUGUGUGAAGAAGGCCUUCGGGUUGUAAAGCACUUUUGUCCGGAAAGAAAUCCUUGGCUCUAAUACAGUCGGGGGAUGACGGUACCGGAAGAAUAAGCACCGGCUAACUACGUGCCAGCAGCCGCGGUAAUACGUAGGGUGCAAGCGUUAAUCGGAAUUACUGGGCGUAAAGCGUGCGCAGGCGGUUUGCUAAGACCGAUGUGAAAUCCCCGGGCUCAACCUGGGAACUGCAUUGGUGACUGGCAGGCUAGAGUAUGGCAGAGGGGGGUUAGAAUUCCACGUGUAGCAGUGAAAUGCGUAGAGAUGUGGAGGAAUACCGAUGGCGAAGGCAGCCCCCUGGGCCAAUACUGACGCUCAUGCACGAAAAGGCGCGGGGAGCAAAACAGGAUUAGAUACCCUGGUAGUCCACGCCCUAAACGAUGUCAACUAGUUGUUGGGGAUUCAUUUCCUAGUAACGUAGCUAACGCGUGAAGUUGACCGCCUGGGGGAGUAC
rnacentral:rRNA from 1 species